UACGUAGGGUGCAAGCGUUAAUCGGAAUUACUGGGCGUAAAGCGUGCGCAGGCGGUUUUGUAAGUUUGUCGUGAAAUCCCCGGGCUCAACCUGGGAAUGGCGAUUGAAGACUGCAAGGCUAGAAUCUGGCAGAGGGGGGUAGAAUUCCACGUGUAGCAGUGAAAUGCGUAGAGAUGUGGAGGAACACCGAUGGCGAAGGCAGCCCCCUGGGCCGACAUUGACGC
rnacentral:rRNA from 1 species